rnacentral:rRNA from 1 species
GAUGAACGCUGGCGGCGUGCCUAAUACAUGCAAGUCGAGCGAACGGACGAGAAGCUUGCUUUUCUGAUGUUAGCGGCGGACGGGUGAGUAACACGUGGAUAACCUACCUAUAAGACUGGGAUAACUUCGGGAAACCGGAGCUAAUACCGGAUAAUAUGUUGAACCGCAUGGUUCAAAAGUGAAAGACGGUCUUGCUGUCACUUAUAGAUGGAUCCGCGCUGCAUUAGCUAGUUGGUAAGGUAACGGCUUACCAAGGCAACGAUGCAUAGCCGACCUGAGAGGGUGAUCGGCCACACUGGAACUGAGACACGGUCCAGACUCCUACGGGAGGCAGCAGUAGGGAAUCUGCCGCAAUGGGCGAAAGCCUGACGGAGCAACGCCGCGUGAGUGAUGAAGGUCUUCGGAUCGUAAAACUCUGUUAUUAGGGAAGAACAUAUGUGUAAGUAACUGUGCACAUCUUGACGGUACCUAAUCAGAAAGCCACGGCUAAGUACGUG